GACGAACGCUGGCGGCGUGCCUAAUACAUGCAAGUAGAACGCUGAAGAAAGGAGCUUGCUUCUUUUGGAUGAGUUGCGAACGGGUGAGUAACGCGUAGGUAACCUGCCUUGUAGCGGAGGAUAACUAUUGGAAACGAUAGCUAAUACCGCAUAACAGCUUUUGACACAUGUUAGAAGCUUGAAAGAUGCAAUUGCAUCACUACGAGAUGGACCUGCGUUGUAUUAGCUAGUAGGUAGGGUAACGGCCUACCUAGGCGACGAUACAUAGCCGACCUGAGAGGGUGAUCGGCCACACUGGGACUGAGACACGGCCCAGACUCCUACGGGAGGCAGCAGUAGGGAAUCUUCAGCAAUGGGGGCAACCCUGACCGAGCAACGCCGCGUGAGUGAAGAAGGUUUUCGGAUCGUAAAGCUCUGUUGUAAGAGAAGAACGUGUGUGAGAGUGGAAAGUUCACACAGUGACGGUAACUUACCAGAAAGGGACGGCUAACUACGUGCCAGCCGCCGCGGUAA
rnacentral:rRNA from 1 species